AUGCCUGGCGCUGGCGGCGACCGACUCUCGGACCUCCCCGAUGACCUUCUACACCACAUCAUGUACUUCCUGCCGGCAAAGGACGGCGCCUCCACCGGCGUGCUCGGGCGGCGGUGGCGCUCGCUCUGGCGCGCAUCCGGCGCCGUCAACCUCGACUCGCGCUCUUACGACCAUCUCGACUGA
rnacentral:rRNA from 1 species